GACGAACGCUGGCGGUGUGCUUAACACAUGCAAGUCGAACGGUAAGGCCCUUUCGGGGGUACACGAGUGGCGAACGGGUGAGUAACACGUGAGUAACCUGCCCUCAUCUCUGGGAUAACAGUCGGAAACGGUUGCUAAUACUGGAUAUGAGCUUGCAAGGCAUCUUGUGGGUUGGAAAGAUUUUUUUUGGUUGGGGAUGGACUCGCGGCCUAUCAGCUUGUUGGUGAGGUAGUGGCCCACCAAGGCUUCGACGGGUAGCCGGCCUGAGAGGGCGACCGGCCACAUUGGGACGGAGAUACGGCCCAAACUCCUACGGGAGGCAGCAGUGGGGAAUAUUGCACAAUGGACGGAAGUCUGAUGCAGCAACGCCGCGUGCGGGAUGACGGCCUUCGGGUUGUAAACCGCUUUCAAUUGUGACGAAGCUUUUUUGUGACGGUAGCAGUAGAAGAAGCACCGGCUAACUACGUG
rnacentral:rRNA from 1 species